rnacentral:misc_RNA from 1 species
UUUCCGUAGGUGAACCUGCGGAAGGAUCAUUAACGAGUUAGGGUCUUCUAGGCCCGACCUCCCAACCCUAUGUUUAUUAAACCUCUGUUGCUUCGGCGGACCCGUCUCACGACCGCCGGAGGAUCGCCGCGAGGCGUCCUCUGGCCAGCGUCCGCCGAUGGCCGACCACUUAAACUCUGAAUAAAUCGUGUCGUUAUGUCUAAGUCUAUGAUUAAAUUAAAGCAAAACUUUCAACAACGGAUCUCUUGGUUCUG